rnacentral:rRNA from 1 species
UACGUAGGGUGCGAGCGUUGUCCGGAAUUAUUGGGCGUAAAGAGCUCGUAGGCGGUUCGUUGCGUCUGUCGUGAAAACCUGCAGCUUAACUGUGGGCUUGCGGUGGAUACGGGCGGACUUGAGUUUGGUAGGGGAGACUGGAAUUCCUGGUGUAGCGGUGAAAUGCGCAGAUAUCAGGAGGAACACCGGUGGCGAAGGCGGGUCUCUGGGCCGAUACUGACGCUGAGGCGCGAAAGCGUGGGGAGCGAACAGG